rnacentral:rRNA from 1 species
UACGUAGGGAGCAGCGUUGUUUCGGAUGGUACUGGGCGUAAAGGGUGUGUAGGCGGUCGUUUAAGUUUGGUGUGAAUCUCCCGGCUCAACCGGGAGGGUGCGCCGAAUACUGAAUGACUUGGAGUGCGGGAGAGGUGAGUGGAAUUCCUGGUGUAGCGGUGAAAUGCGUAGAUAUCAGGAGGAACACCGGUGGUGUAGACGGCUCACUGGACCGUAACUGACGCUGAGACACGAAAGCGUGGGUAGCAAACAGG